GAUGAACGCUGGCGGCGUGCCUAAUACAUGCAAGUCGAGCGAACGGACGAGGAGCUUGCUUUUCUGAUGUUAGCGGCGGACGGGUGAGUAACACGUGGAUAACCUACCUAUAUGACUGGGAUAACUUCGGGAAACCGGAGCUAAUCCCGGAUAAUAUUUUGAACCGCAUGGUUCAAAAGUGAAAGACGGUCUUGCGGUCACUUAUAGCUGGAUCCGCGCUGCAUUAGCUAGUUGGUAAGGUAACGGCUUACCAAGGCAACGAUGCAUAGCCGACCUGAGAGGGUGAUCGGCCACACGGGAACGGAGACACGGUCCAGACUCCUACGGGAGGCAGCAGUAGGGAAUCUUCCGCAGUGGGCGAAAGCCUGACGGAGCAACGGCGCGUGAGUGAUGAAGGUCUUCGGAUCGUAAAACUCUGUUAUUAGGGAAGAACAUAUGUGUAAGUAACUGUGCACAGCUUGACGGUACCUAAUCAGAAAGCCACGGCUAACUACGUG
rnacentral:rRNA from 1 species